CCCGAGACUAGAGUCACAUCUCUGCUCUGCUAGUGACCUUGGUGUGCUAGAGUCCUCGGAGAGUAACCACUGUACUUUAUUCACUGGCGGGUUCUUAAUGUAGCUCAGCCAGUCACCGGUUCAGUGACACCU